AGCAGUCGCCACGGGAACACAGAGGGUGCAAGCGUUAAUCGGAAUUACUGGGCGUAAAGCGCGCGUAGGUGGUUUGUUAAGUUGGAUGUGAAAUCCCCGGGCUCAACCUGGGAACUGCAUCCAAAACUGGCAAGCUAGAGUAUGGUAGAGGGUGGUGGAAUUUCCUGUGUAGCGGUGAAAUGCGUAGAUAUAGGAAGGAACACCAGUGGCGAAGGCGACCACCUGGACUGAUACUGACACUGAGGUGCGAAAGCGUGGGGAGCAAACAGGAUUAGAUACCCCGGUAGUCCCUGUCUCUUAUAC
rnacentral:rRNA from 1 species